GGGAGGGGCUGGCAUCUGGUGUUAAUACAAGGAGAAAGAAGCAAGGAGAGUGGUUUUCUACACAACCUUCUAGGAAGGAAGGAGGUAACAGAUGUUCAUUGUGACGUGAAUGUAAUUUCAGUACCUGCAGAGGAGAAAUGACGACCGGAGCCACCCGAGCUUAAAGUGGGAGCUCUCCACAAGAUGGCAAUGUAACACCACGCAUUCUGUCCUCUGGAAGACGUCCUCUGCUUGGGGCUUCCUUCAUUCCAAGAAUGGUGCCAUUGGGUAUCUACACCCGUUGCAUGUGGAAGUGCAAGCCCAGCUUGGGUUGAGGUGAAUGCAGAUAGUCUGUCUGGUGGCUUUCUGCCAAGGUGACAUCAAGUCUUCAGAGAGAGAGCAAAGUCCAAUGAUGUGGCUUUGCCACUCCUGGUUGGCCGUGGGAAAAGACCUGCCAUGACCAUAUGGAGACACCAGGCAUGGAGCAGCAUAGAGGUGCUCUCUAGGGAAAACUGUAGUAUUUUAAGAUAUAGACUCUGUUAUCUUUGUAAUACUGAAUUGUACUUUAUUGAACAAAUAAUCUUACUGCAGUAUACGGAAUAUCUGUGAAGCACAAGGCCACCACGACGUGAAUGAACUUGCCAAAAAGUCUGUGUUGUCUUAUACUGCUUCCUGUUAACUUAAAAGCAGCUGGGAAAGAUGCUAGCUGAAAAUGAGAUGUGAUCAUCAAUAAGUUGUUUUUAUCUAUUUAAACCUAGCAACAAUAACAAAAAAAGUGCAAACGAAAGAUGCAUAACACUAGCUUCCUUCUGUAACACAGGCCAGGAUUUUGUGAAUUAUCCCCAGAUUUCAGUCACUUCCCCUAUGGCUUCUGUUCUGUCUCUUACAAUAAAUAUUUGCUCGCCAACUUCUUUGAACAGCGAAAGCAAGCCAAGCCAGUCCUGGAAGGGGCUGAGCUGUGUUUGUUGUACUAUGUUUUGGGAAGCCCUUUUUUGAUAUGUGUUGAUAUACUUUACCCCCUUAAUUCUCUUUAUCCUUUUGGGGGAUCUCUGCUUGCCCUUUAGUUGAUUCCUUGAGGAAUGCUCCUAGAAAAUCUAAGGCAGUCAAGGGCAGAAGUAAGAAUGAUGAGUAAGCAGCUCUUCAUCUGUUCAGAGAAAGGACUGUGUCAGAAACUGAACUGUCUUGUUGUCACUAUGAAGUUGUGUUGUCUUCCGAAGUACCAGGUGUUGGUCAUGGCUGGAAAGAGGAGAGCAGAUUAAAUGGAUCCAAUGGACUGAUCUGGUAUGGCAAGCUUUAAGCUCUUUGAAGCCUAUGAGGACAUUUCCAUUUCCAAACCACAAAUUAUUUCCAGAAACUGGGAAACAAGAGGAGGGGAACAAGAGGAAGGAAAACUUGCACAUGGCAAGCUCAACAGACAAAAAAAAUCCUUUACAAUGAAGUCAUUGGACAGAAAGUAAACUGCCCACAAGCCCUUUUACCAGAAGAGUUUGGAUCAAGAGUCCAGUGAAUAAGGGGAUUAUAUGUAACACAUACGUAUGAAGUGUCGGGGCAAUAAAGAGGAAUUGUCUAUAUGUUGGUCUCAAAACUUCCACUGAACCCUUCAGUGCGCGAGUCAGUCACAGAGAAGAUCAGUGUAUGUGGUCCUUGUUCCAGAGCCAGGUUAAAGGAAAGGUGGAACUUUUCACAGAAAAUAGUUAAAACUUUGCUUUAUCAGGCUUGCUUUUUGCUAAACUUUGCUUAUCUUGUGCAAUGGUUCCUGGCUCCUUCAUACGGCCUUCACCUUUGAAUACUAUUGAUUAACUAGUACCUGGUUUGCCAUAUGAUCCGAGUUUCUCUUACAUCUUUCUCUUCUUUAUCUACUGGAGUUGACUCUUUUAACCCUUUGACUGGGAACUUUGUCACUUACCUGAUGACUGGCAGCUGUUCUGUACAGCUUUAUGUCGAGGAAGCAAGUGAGAGACUGAAGAUUCUCAAAGUAAAAGCCAAACUCCUUUAAACUGUUAAAGCUCUGAAUUCUUUGUCUUGCAGUAGCAUCUAGAAGGCGUGUUUCAGCUAGGAGGGUGGGCCUGCUGUGCAAGGCACAGGACCAGCACGUAACCAGAGGGCUGCUCCUGCCCUAAAGAACUUGCAGCCUCAAUAGAAAACAGAAAGAAUGAGAGGCACAAAGAAAAGAGAGGACUUGGCCAAGAUGAUUGAGCAGUAAAUCAGUGGCAGGACUUUGAAGAGUUCCCUUGAGUCCUAAUCUGGUGACCUUUCUAGUGGGGCAAGCUGCCUCUGGCUUUUCACUGAAGUGUGCAAAGCAUUGGCUUUUAAUUUGCAAAUAGAUUAGAGCAUACAGCAUCACAUGCCAAAAACUUCAGCGGGAAGUUAAUGUUGCCUAAUGGUGUCUUGUAUUGUUCCAGAAUGCAUGAAGGAUUAAUCCUGAGCAGGAAGUGAGAAAUUAAUGCUAAUUUAAACUUCUGAAAAGUAGGAAAUAUACAGGUACGAUCAAAAUAACCUUAGCUCUGUCCUCUUCCAGCGUUGUCACUAUGCAUGUUCAGAUACACAGAAUCUCAUAGAAAUUCAAGAAAUGAGGCACAUGAAAACAAUAAGUGUAAUACAUUUUCUCUGAGCAUAUCCCAUCAGGACAAAUGGGGCAGGCAGCAGAAUGCUCAUUCCCAUUAAGAUCUGAGAAUGGCAGAUUUGAUGCCCUUGAGUCUUGAGGUGCGUGUGCUCCUCUGUGUCACCUCUUGCGAGGGCAAUCUAGUUCUGAAAUUCAUCCUUUGGCUCAGCCUGUGGGGUGUUUCAUCCCAAAGGAACUCUGAGCUCAUAAAUGUUUUGAUGCUGGCCGCUGGUCUUUUAGUGGUGAGGCCAGAGCAUCCGUGGUGGAAUGUGAUUUCCAUUUCAGAUGGCCAUAAUCUCAAAACAGUUUCACGUGGUGCCCGACCAUGGUUUCUCAGAUGGUGUUGACAAUUGUCUGGACAUUGCUCUCAGUUAUGUGGCCUGAUUUUGGGGUGGUCCUAUGUAGAGUCAGGAGUUGGACUCCUUAUGAAUCCCUUCCAACGCAGGGGAUUCUGGGAUUGUAUGUUAUUUUUUCUUCAUAGUCAUUUUCUAUAAGUCCAUAGAUUUUAAGACUGGGAAGAUAUUGCUAGACUGUCUGACCUCAUCUAUACCAACCUUCAAACUUCUGAUUCAGCUGUACUGAGCCAAAUACUCUGAAACUGU